UAUACUUUAAUAUAAUGAUGUAUAAAAGUUUUUGAUACUUUAAGAGAUAGUUUAAUUCUAUCAAGUAUAA
rnacentral:tRNA from 1 species